GAGAAAGAGUUUGAAAACUAAAAAGCGCAAAAUCCGAAGUUAGGGUUUUCGUUUUCCGUUAACCCAUUCGACUUUCCCAAAAUGGAGGAGAGAGGUGGCACUCGUGUUGGGACUGAGAAGAUGUUGUUGAAUCGGCGAGUCGAGAGAAAUCUGGUUGGAAAUAAGGGAUUUAAGAUUGUGCGUUUGCGAAGUGAAAUUCAGAGCGUGGAGAAACCCUAAUUCAUGUUUGAGGAAGAGGUAAAGGACGCGCAAGUGGGACUCCUUGGCUUGAUGGUGGUGGCGGAGAUUGAGGUUUGACGGAAGAAGGGAGAAGAGAGAGCGGGAAUUGAGGUUUUGUUGUUAAUUUGAAUUAAUGGAAGUUGCAGCGUGGCAGUGAUUCUCUAGAAAUUCUAAAAUGAAGAGUUGACACCACAGGAAGAAUAUUCUUCUCAUGCAAAUCUAUAACUGUGAGGGAUUUUAGUACCAGUGCAUUUUCUGGGGGUACAACUGCGUGCAUAGAAAUUGGUUCCUCUGGUUUUAAAAGAGUGACGCACUUUGCGAAACUUUAAAGUCAAUGACAACAGUUCUUUGAUCAAACAUUGCACAGAUAGGGUGACAAUUCUCUUGUUCUACAGAUGAUAGAAAAAGUAAUAAUUGAUCAGAUACCGCAAAAGCCUUCUUUUGCCUAUGGCGUCUCUCUCAUGAGAAUGCUUGUUACAGAGGAUUCGAAACCUACUAGACUUUCUGAACAAAGCAUCGCCGCUUUGGGCCAUCAUCUUCCGAAUAUCUGAUGAAUAAUGUGCAGUACUUGGAUUAUAGAGAUUUCACUCUGGCAUCUCAGGAGAUGAUGAACAGGUUCCUUUCAAUUAAGUACCCAGCAUUCUUCUUCCUUGAUUUUUCUUGUUUGACCAUUGUCAUAAAGUUAUGAAUCUUGUGUUGAAGAAAAUGGCUUAAGUUAUAUCUGAAAGCAGUUUUUUUUUUAUCAAUGUACUCAAUGUACUAGGCCAUUGGUUCUGUACUUUUAAUGAUGCGAAAGGAUGCUAAAUUACAACAUAUUAUGUCUUUUUUCAAGGAAAACAUUGACGACCUCAUACAUCAAGUUCAUUCUUUAGGUGUAGAUUCUACCCUAUGGAGAAGAACACCUAGAACAACUAUUAAUUGUUAUUUUGAAGCUUGCUGCUCAUAAAUAUUAUUUAUCUUUUCAUUGUAUAAAAUAAAAUUGUAAAGGUUUUUCAGUAUUUUUUGAUUGCCUAUAUACCACUGUGUAGACAGUUAGAUACUCUGUAGUGAGGAUAGUUACAUUUUGUAUUAAAUACAUUUGCUCAUUUAGCAUUAAUCCAUGGUAUGAUCACCUUUUUUAUGGCUGCAUAAAAUUCAAUACAGUGUUUAUUGCAUGUGUGCAUCAUCACAUAUUGACUAGCUUUCUGUAGCUUCUAGGAAGAUAAGAAACAAAUUACAUGGUAUGAUUAACCAAUUAGUGUAAGAUGAGCCAUUUUAAUAUAUGUGUAGGUUCAAACAAGUUCGGUCACGUGUCUUGGUGGUUUCAAAAUCCAAUAUGUAUAUAGUUUUAAUUUGAAUUGAGUUUGGUUUUUAAAAUCAAACCAUGUAUAUCCAUUAGAAAAACAUCAUGAACAGAACCUAUUUAAAUUAUGGAGCAGAAUGGUAUUUUUAGAUUUACUCUGUUAGUUGUAUUCUUAGUUGGUGGUAGUUUCCUUCCAACCUUUGGCAUUAUUUUCUGAAAAUUUUGGAUGAGUGAGCUGUUAAAUAGUUUAAAAAAACUCAGAAGGCUCAUAGUGUAGAAAUGAAUGUGAUGGAAUUGUGCUAGGACUAUGGUGGAAAACCUUAAAGUUAUUGUCAUGCUGUUUCUUCUAGUUGACUUCAGAAUGAAUCAGCUUGCCAUAAUAAGAUACCAAAAAAGUAGAAGCAAAAACUGAAUUAGAUUCUUGUGACAUUCAAUUAAUUCAUAGAAAGGAUAAGAGAGAUAGAAGAAGUACAUGUGAUUUAUGAUUUGGUGGUGGUUGCGAGUGAGCGCUGGUGAAACAGUAAUUUGAAUGUAUUCGCAAUGCAGUCCCUUAGAUCUUUGUAGCAGCACAGUGACACUAGUGAAACAAGGUCCAAUAAGAAUUACAAAUGCAACAAACUCACAAUUUCUGUGAUUGUAAAUGAAGUUUAUAUCUGACCCAAGAAGAAUAAGUUCAUUUCAGCAUCUGCAAGAUGCUUUGAAACACCCUUACAUUGUGAAUAGGGACAGAUAGAAUACAACUUAUGUGGCCUAUUUUGAUUCAUAAGUUAAAUUUCUUAGUUAAUGUAUCUAAUUUGUCAAAUUAUCUUAAAAUAUCUUAGUACUAAGAACUUCAUAGUGAAUUUUAACAAAACUUGUAAAGGAGAAAGUUAAAAGAACAAUUCAAACAGUCCUCUCAAUUAAGAAGAACAGUAGUGUACGAAAUUCUAGGACACCCACCUACAAUCUGAGAUGAGUCUGUGGGAAAAAUCAAUAAUCAUAAUGAUAAUUUCGCAUAACUAGGCCGUCAGAUUUUUAAUUUCGUAUUUUUCUAAUUUUGUUUUUUUGUUCACAGAACAACAGAGAAAUUAACUGGUCUGUCGUCAGUAGAACUUUUUCUCAAAAAGAAAAAAAAUAUAUUUUAUUUUAUCAGAAAAUUGGGGCUUCUUCUAAUGUGUCUUGAGUGAACUGAGAAAGAAAGAGAAACAUAGAGGUCCCUGCCAUGCUAUGAAACAAAGGUUGAACAGAGCAUCUACAGUUGUAUUCUUUAUUCACUUUACCAAGUCUUGCCAAUUUUAACAGCUAAACAUUUGAUACCUUAUUGUGCAAAUCAGUUCCUCCUUUAUCUUGUGGCAG